rnacentral:rRNA from 1 species
AGUUGCGAACUCCACAAACCAUUGUGAACCUUACCUUCAAACGUUGCUUCGGCGGGCGGGCCACAGCGCCCCCCGGGCCCCCCCAGCGGGGGCGCCCGCCGGAGGAUACCCAAACUCUUUGAUACUUUAUGGCCUCUCUGAGUCUUCUGUACUGAAUAAGUCAAAACUUUCAACAACGGAUCUCUUGGUUCUGGCAUCGAUGAAGAACGCAGCGAAAUGCGAUAAGUAAUGUGAAUUGCAGAAUUCAGUGAAUCAUCGAAUCUUUGAACGCACAUUGCGCCCGCCAGUAUUCUGGCGGGCAUGCCUGUUCGAGCGUCAUUUCAACCAUCAAGCCCCCGGGCUUGUGUUGGGGACCUGCGGCUGCCCGCAGGCCCUGAAAACCAGUGGCGGGCUCGCUGUCACACCGAGCGUAGUAGCAUCAUCUCGCUCAGGGCGUGCUGCGGGUUCCGGCCGUUAAAAGCCUCCAAUAACCCAAGGUUGACCUCGGAUCAGGUAGGAAGACCCGCUGAACUUAAGCAUAUCAAUAAGCGGAGGAA